UCUGGUCCGGUUGGUGACAGUAAUGUGCGAAUGCGCAUGUGUAUGACUGCGCGGUGCUUUUAGUAGGUAGUAAGUUCUGUGGUCUUCCUGCGCGGCUUUCUGUGGCGUUAACGUUGCAUUUGACUUUUUCAAAUGAACAAAACAAAUUAAACAAUGUCAUUAACAAAAUAUAUUCAGAGAUUUUACGACGGUAAAACAGCCGCAAUCCAGUAGGAAACAUUGCUGGAGGAAGAGUAUUUUUCAGAACGAGGACAUUUUUUGCGACGUAAAGGAGGAGUGGGGCGCCAUUGAAGGAUUGGAGCAGCACAGAACACAUUUCACACUUAAGAAGACCCAGCCGGCCACCUGUUCACCUGAGGGAGAAAGCCCUGUCUUCAGCCCUGUCUUCCACCUGUCUUCAGCCCUGUCUUCCACCUGUCUUCAGCCCUGUCUUCCACCUGUCUUCAGCCCUGUCAAAUAACCAUUCCAUGUGGCAGCAGCAUGUUGGUGGACAAGUUCCAGGCGCCAUGGGAAAAAAUGAGGCCCUCUCUUGUAAGAGACAUUGUUGCUGGAUGUUGGAGACGUACCAGGAGGAAGUGGCUCUUCGGGCAGUAGUCAAUGAGAAGCAAGUGCCUUCAGGAAUCACCUUUUUCAAACUCCCCACACGUCAUUUAUACUCAACCUUUAGGUUUUUAUGUGUUACAGACCUUGGAUAGAUAUACUGAGGAUUUGGUUUGCCGUUAAUUUUGCUUUCUAAUUUAGCUACCUUAAAAAGCUUAGUGGUUACUUAAUGUCAUUCAGAGGUUUUGUAGUAUAAAGUCAGAAGAGUAAAACAAAUUUUACUUUGGGCUUGCAUGCUGUAAACUGGCAUAUAAAUUGAUUUAUUAAGACUGCCCUAAAUGUUUCAUAUAUUGUACAGUGUGCUAUGAAUGGUACAAACUAUUUAACAAGAUAUGUUAACAUUUUCUGCUUGGGUUUUGUUUGUAUCACAUUCCUGUCUUUUUCCCAUUGAUUUUCAUUGAAUUGGAAAACCAACUUAAUUGUGGACGUAACCAACUCUAUGUAAAUCCAGUGCACACAGCUUUAGAAAGUCAUAUAAUAUAAAAUUGAAUCAAGAAAGUGAGGAAAUCUUAUAAUUGUACAUGGUAGUUCACUUACAGUCCUAUCAAAGCAAAAUGGCAACAUUCAUAGCUUUAUGUUGACCCAGUUGGUUUUGAAAGUAAAUAUCUGAAAAUGCUAUCAAUAAUGUAAAUAAAAUUAGAUGUUUUUGUUUUAUGAAGGAUUUUAGUUGUACUUUUUUAUAUGGGGGUGGAAAUGUUUAAGCUGAAAUGUUUGACUUAAAAAGGGGCUGUAUGCUGCUGCAUUUCAAGUCCUAUUUUGUAGUCUUGUGAUCACUGUGUAAUAGCUUCCGCUAGCUAGUUUUAGAUGUAAACUCCAACAUUAACAUUAGUACAGAUGCUUUGGACGGCUGGUUCAAAGGCAGCGUAUAACAGCUGCUGCUGCAAGCUAUUGUUUGCAACAGCUAGCAUUUACAACAAGUAAAGCUAUCUGUCCAUCAGGAAACUUUAUAAAUCACAGCAUUGAGGCAGAGCAGCCAGAGGACUUCAGAAUGAAAACCAGAAAACAUGUAUACCUUUUCUUCAUAACCGUACUAGCACUUUCUGUGUGACACACUGAACGCGCUCCAACUCAAUUCUGUCGUCCUGUGCUUUCUGGAUGGACUGGGCCGAUGGGGCAGCGCUGUUCCUGUGUUUUGUGGGUGUGACCUGUGUGCUCAGCCAGCAGCCAGAUAUAGGAAACUGGCUCAGUGUGUUGUCACACAGAGCCAAGACUAAAGAAAACUGCUGAAAACAAUUCUGAACACUGGGUGAUCAGAUUUUUUGUCUCACAGGGAUUUCUUUUAAAUAUGUUUAGCUCAUUAUUUGACGCUUUGGCCAUGUUUAACAUGAACAUCUGGCAUUGUAACAUCAUAGAUAUGAAGGUCUCCUUUAACAAAUAGUAUAAAUCAAAAGAGGUUUCUGGGCUCUAUUCUAACAUAAAUUAAUAGUAUAUACUACUACACUGUAAUAUAAAUUGUCAAUGUGGAAAUUUAAGUAA